GCACAGCAGCUCAAGUUCUCCGUCUCCCUCCAGUUUAGGGUUGCGUGGCUGGGAGCUCGGGUAGCUAGUCGUCCAUGGCGAUCGAUCGAGAAGGGGUGGUGGCGUUUGGUUGUUGGCUGAGAGAGUGCGAUGUUGGCAUGGCUCAAUCAACUCGCCGGCCGCGGGUGGCUUAUAGCUUAAUUCUGCGCAUUCGAUCGAGGUGCGGGCGCAGUGUUUAAUUGAUUGAGCCGUGCCAAUAUCACAACCUUCUCUAGCCUAUAUAUGUGGAGUGGACUACAGGUACGGGGGUUUUGUGUUCUUUGUCGUCCUGCUAUGCGCCGUGAAAUUUAAUUAAGAUUCGGUUUUCCAUCUAUAUAUCGUGUAUAUACCAUGGAUGUGUGUACUGUUUGUGGCAUUAUUAUCAGGUCAUGUUUACAAGUAUAGUAGGUGUGGCAGCAGUUGACCUAUGGUUCCCGGAUAAAAA